GACGAACGCUGGCGGCGUGCUUAACACAUGCAAGUCGAGCGGUAAGGCCUUUCGGGGUACACGAGCGGCGAACGGGUGAGUAACACGUGAGCAAUCUGCCCUGCACUUUGGGAUAACCGCCGGAAACGGUGGCUAAUACCGGAUAUGACUUCCUGUGGCAUCACGGGUGGGGGAAAGUUCUGGCGGUGCAGGAUGAGCUCGCGGCCUAUCAGCUUGUUGGUGGGGUAAUGGCUCACCAAGGCUUCGACGGGUAGCCGGCCUGAGAGGGUGACCGGCCACACUGGGACUGAGACACGGCCCAGACUCCUACGGGAGGCAGCAGUGGGGAAUAUUGGACAAUGGGCGAAAGCCUGAUCCAGCAACGCCGCGUGAGGGAUGACGGCCUUCGGGUUGUAAACCUCUUUCAGCGCAGACGAAGCGAAAGUGACGGUAUGCGCAGAAGAAGCACCGGCCAACUACGUGCCAGCCGCCGCCGUAAUAC
rnacentral:rRNA from 1 species